rnacentral:tRNA from 1 species
UAGCUCAGUGGUAGAGUGUGUGCUUAACAUGCACAAGAUCCUGGAUUCAAUCCCCAG